UACGAAGGGUGCAAACGUUGCUCGGAAUUAUUGGGCGUAAAGCGCACGUAGGCGGCUUUGCAAGUCCCAUGUGAAAUCCCACGGCUCAACCGUGGAAGUGCAUGGGAAACUGCAGAGCUUGAGUACUUAAGAGGAUCGCGGAAUUCCCGGUGUAGAGGUGAAAUUCGUAGAUAUCGGGAGGAACACCAGUGGCGAAGGCGGCGACCUGGGCCAAUAUUGACGCUGAGGUGCGAAAGCGUGGGGAGCAAACAGG
rnacentral:rRNA from 1 species